rnacentral:rRNA from 1 species
GGAGGGUGCGAGCGUUGUCCGGAAUCACUGGGCGUAAAGGGCGCGUAGGCGGCCUGAUAAGUAGGGGGUGAAAUCCUGCGGCUUAACCGCAGGGCUGCCUUCUAAACUGUCAGGCUCGAGCACAGUAGAGGCAGGUGGAAUUCCCGGUGUAGCGGUGGAAUGCGUAGAGAUCGGGAAGAACAUCAGUGGCGAAGGCGGCCUGCUGGGCUGUUGCUGACGCUGAGGCGCGACAGCGUGGGGAGCAAACAGGAUUAGAUACCCUGGUAGUCCACGCCGUAAACGAUGGGCACUAGGCGUCGGGGGGAGCGACCCUCCCGGUGCCGUCGCUAACGCAGUAAGUGCCCCGCCUGGGGAGUACGGCCGCAAGGCUG